rnacentral:tRNA from 1 species
GGGGAUUUAGCUCAGUGGUAGAGCGCUUGCCUAGCAAGCACAAGGCCCUGGGUUCGAUCCUUAGCUCCG